UGAAAGCAUCUAAGCACGAAACUUGCCCCGAGAUGAGUUCUCCCUGAGACUUUAAGUCUCCUGAAGGAACGUUAAAGACGAUGACGUUGAUAGGCCGGGUGUGUAAGCGCAGCGAUGCGUUGAGCUAACCGGUACUAAUGAACCGUGAGGCUUAACCUUACAACGCCGAAG
rnacentral:rRNA from 1 species